UUGGUGUAGUAUAAAUAUGUAAGACGUGCAUCGGGUCAUAAUCAUCAGCCUCGUUAGGUGGAAGACGCA
rnacentral:snoRNA from 1 species